rnacentral:siRNA from 1 species
AUGGGGUAUGUGUUAAAGGAGAAA